GUAGAUUAGUCUUUUAAAAAUAUUAUUAUAUUCAUGUAAAAUUUGAAGUUUUCAUUAAGUUGAUAAAAAAAUUUAAAAGGAUAAAAAAGUAAACACAUUGGGCAAAAAGAAAAAAUUGGAUACGCGGCAAAAUGUGGCCUUGAAAAAUAGUAUCAAAUCCUACACCUCACAUUGCAAGGGUGCCCCUUGCUCUGUUCCUAAAUUUUAUGAAUAAUUUUUGGUUUAGUACGUGCAAAGGUUUAUGACAACUCCUAAUGAAUGUGCCAAAUGAACCAAUUCUUCCAGAUUUUCACUUCAAAUGUUAAAACCAAAGUCAAAACUCUUUCCUAUAUAUAGAUCAUUUCACAGGCAAAAUAAGAUGAGUAACAUUAUACAUAUUUAAUAUGAUAAACUAGCAAGCUUAGUUAAGAAUCAAAUCUUUUAGACUGUCCAGUAGGAACUUAGUUAAGAACAAAAAGAGGAAGGACAUAUGACUUUAAAAUAGUAUUUAAUUAAUGAGAUCUAUCAAUAUUAUAUCUAAGAUGGAAUAAACAAUCAUCACAAUUUUAAAAAACCACUAAGAAAAAUGUCCAAUAGAAGGAUGUAAUAUCAUAUUAUAAUUUACAAGGACUAACCUCUGC
rnacentral:misc_RNA from 1 species